AGCUGAGAGGCAGGGUAGCAGGUGUGAGAAGGUUCCGGUAGAGGGACUGGGUUGUGCUUGGGCCAGGCAACCCUGCAGUCUGUAUCCUGGGGAUACAGGAGUGAUGGAGAAAUGGGCUCAGCCAACAUCUCAGUACAUCUGUGAUGCUCUCAGAUUCCACUUGUGGCUAUCUAGGCCUCUUUGGGCUGUUCCCUGGGCACCGCUGGUUUUGGUGCACAGUCCCAAUUCUGUGGCAGCAGAGGGUGCUGUGAACAUCAGAAUCAAAGAGCACCCCCUUUCCCUCAACUCCAGCAAAUCUGUGAGCACCACUGCCAGGGCCUAGUGGUAGAGGCAGACACACUUCCUGGCUUCCCUGUCAGAGAAGCUCGUCAGAGAUACCUUGACCGAAGCAAGCCUGCUUUAGACAGUGCUCUGGAGCCUCCCUGUGUGAUGUCACAUGGGAGGGGAACCUGGUAUUGCUUGGUAACACAGUCAAUUUUGGGAGCCUUGAAGCCAGCCUCGAAGAGGAGGGGCCUAAUGCACAGUUACUUCUGCCUUUCUGCCUCCUGGAAUGUAACAACUCCUCAUGACAUUGGGAAGCUUCUGGUCGGAGACUCAUCACCGGAGGAUUCUGAAGUGGAGGAGACAGUCUGUCAGUGCCCUGGGAGCCAGAGCAGCUGAGUAUUUGAAGUCAGGCCGCCACCCACAUCGUGCCAAAUGUGCCACUGUGGAGCUGGCCGCGCAAGCGCUAAACAAGCGUGCAGAGAUUGUGACACCUGUCCUUCUGGUCCCUCCCUCCCUUUAAGCAUCUUUGCCACUAAUCAUGUCGUAACCGCAAUCAGUUCAAGAAAUAAACACCGGCGAAGGCAAGUCUACAAUUCUAAUGGAGUGCUCGAGGAGCUCAAAGACCCUCUCCAAAGUGUGCCUUGAAAAUAAUACCCAGAUUAAACCUCCCAAACCGG